CCGCCAUUAGCUCAACCGGAUAGAGCAUAGAGCUUCUACCUCUAAGGCUAAGGUUCGGGGUUCAAUUCCUCGAUGGCGGACCA
rnacentral:tRNA from 1 species